GCAUUGGUGGUUCAAUGGUAGGAGUCUCACCUUUCAUGUGGGAGACCUGGGUUUGAUUCCCGGUCAGUGCA
rnacentral:tRNA from 1 species